rnacentral:rRNA from 1 species
CGAGUGGCAAACGGGUGAGUAACGCGUAAGCAACCUGCCCUUCAGAUGGGGACAACAGCUGGAAACGGCUGCUAAUACCGAAUACGUUCUCUUUAUCGCAUGGGUAGAGGGAAGAAAGGGAGGCUCUUCGGAGCUUUCGCUGGAGGAGGGGCUUGCGUCUGAUUAGCUAGUUGGAGGGGUAACGGCCCACCAAGGCGACGAUCAGUAGCCGGUCUGAGAGGAUGAACGGCCACAUUGGGACUGAGACACGGCCCAGACUCCUACGGGAGGCAGCAGUGGGGAAUCUUCCGCAAUGGGCGAAAGCCUGACGGAGCAACGCCGCGUGAGUGAAGAAGGCCUUCGGGUCGUAAAGCUCUGUUGUCGGGGACGAAUGUAGUAACCAUCAACAACCGUAACUAAUGACGGUACCUGACGAGGAAGCCACGGCUAACUACGUG